rnacentral:rRNA from 1 species
GAUGAAUGCUGGCGGCGUGCCUAAUACAUGCAAGUCGAGCGAAGCGGGGACGGGUGAGUAAUCCGUGGAUAACCUCCUAUAAGACUGGGUUAAAUUCGGGGAACCGGAGCUAAAACGGAUGCUUAUAGAUGGAUCCUCGCUGCAUUAGCUAGUUGGUAAGGUAACGGCUUACCAAGGCAACGAUGCAUAGCCGACCUGAGAGGUAGAUCGGCCACACUGGGACUGAGACACGGUCCAGACUCCUACGGGAGGCAGCAGUAGGGAAUCUUCGGCAAUGGGCGAAAGCCUGACCGAGCAACGCCGCGUGAGUGAUGAAGGUCGUCGGAGUGUAAAACUCUGUUAUUAGGGAAGCGGUACCUAAUCAGAAAGCAACGGCUAACUACGUGCCAGCAGCCGCGGUAAUAC